GGGCGCUUAGCUCAGCGGGAGAGCGCUGCCCUGACACGGUAGAGGUCACUGGUUCGAUCCCAGUAGUGCCCA
rnacentral:tRNA from 2 species